UAUACUCAAGUCCAGGGCUCCACUAU
rnacentral:sRNA from 1 species